rnacentral:rRNA from 1 species
GAUGAACGCUGGCGGCGUGCCUAAUACAUGCAAGUCGAGCGAACGGACGAGAAGCUUGCGUCUCUGAUGUGAGCGGCGGACGGGUGAGUAACACGUGGAUAACCUACCUAUAAGACUGGGAUAACUUCGGGAAAGCGGAGCUAAUACCGGAUAAGAUUUUGAACCGCAUGGUGCAAAAGUGAAAGACGGUGUUGCGGGCACGUAUAGAUGGAUCCGCGCUGCAUUAGCUAGUUGUUAAGGUAACGGCUUACCAAGGCAACGAUGCAUAGCCGACCUGAGAGGCUGAUCGGCCACACUGGAACUGAGACACGCUCCUGACUCCUACGGGAGGCCCCAGUCGGGAAUCUGCCGCAAUGGGCGAGAGCCUGACGGAGCAACGCCACGUGAGUGAUGAAGGUCUUCGGAUCGUAAAACUCUGUUAUUAGGGAUGAACAUAUGUGUAAGUAACUGUGCCCAUCUUGACGGUACCUAGUCAGAAAGCCCCGGCUAACUACGUG